GACGAACGCUGGCGGCGUGCCUAAUACAUGCAAGUCGAACGAAACUUUCUUACACCGAAUGCUUGCAUUCACCGUAAGAAGUUGAGUGGCGGACGGGUGAGUAACACGUGGGUAACCUGCCUAAAAGAAGGGGAUAACACUUGGAAACAGGUGCUAAUACCGUAUAUCUCUAAGGAUCGCAUGAUCCUUAGAUGAAAGAUGGUUCUGCUAUCGCUUUUAGAUGGACCCGAGGCGUAUUAACUAGUUGGUGGGGUAACGGCCUACCAAGGUGAGGAUAAGUAGCCGAACUGCGGGGUUGAACGGCCACAUUGGGACUGAGACACGGCCCAAACUCCGACGGGUGGCAGCAGUAGGGAAUCUUCCACAAUGGACGCAAGUCUGAUGGAGCAACGCCGCGUGAGUGAAGAAGGUCUUCGGAUCGUAAAACUCUGUUGUUAGAGAAGAACACGAGUGAGAGUAACUGUUCAUUCGAUGACGGUAUCUAACCAGCAAGUCACGGCUAACUACGUGCCAGCCGCCGCGGUAAUAC
rnacentral:rRNA from 1 species